GACGAACGCUGGCGGCGUGCUUAACACAUGCAAGUCGAACGGAAAGGCCUCUUUCGGGGGGUACUCGAGUGGCGAACGGGUGAGUAACACGUGAGUAACCUGCCCUUGACUUUGGGAUAACUUCAGGAAACUGGGGCUAAUACCGGAUAGGAGCUCCUGCUGCAUGGUGGGGGUUGGAAAGUUUCGGCGGUUGGGGAUGGACUCGCGGCUUAUCAGCUUGUUGGUGGGGUAGUGGCUUACCAAGGCUUUGACGUGUAGCCGGCCUGAGAGGGUGACCGGCCACAUUGGGACUGAGAUACGGCCCAGACUCCUACGGGAGGCAGCAGGGGGGAAUAUUGCACAAUGGGUGGAAGCCGGAUGCAGCAACGCCGUGUGCGGGAGGACGGCCUUCGGGUUGUAAACCGCUUUCGCUCAUGACGAAGCUUUGUGUGACGGUAGUGGGUAAAGAAGCACCGGCUAACUACGUG
rnacentral:rRNA from 1 species